UAAGGGGCCAGCUUCAUUCUUUGGCAUUGGAUGUCCAGUUUUCCCAGCACCAUUUGUUGAAAGACUGUCCCCUCCCCAUGAAGUGGGC